UACGUAGGUGGCAAGCGUUGUCCGGAUUUACUGGGCGUAAAGAGCGCGCAGGCGGUCGUUCAAGUCGCGUGUGAAAGCCCCCGGCUCAACUGGGGAGGGUCACGCGAUACUGAUCGACUCGAAGGCAGGAGAGGGUAGUGGAAUUCCCGGUGUAGUGGUGAAAUGCGUAGAUAUCGGGAGGAACACCAGUGGCGAAGGCGGUUCUCUGGGCCUUACCUGACGCUGAGGAGCGAAAGCGUGGGGAGCGAACAGG
rnacentral:rRNA from 1 species